rnacentral:rRNA from 1 species
AACUGAGCAAAAAUAUCAAAUGUAUGGAAACAUGACGGAGACGAAUGACGGCAUAAAUACAAUUACGUGAAAGGUUACUAUACAUUCGUUCCAUAAAGCCCAGGAAAUAUCCCUUCCGUAUAGUAUCUCUUAAUAUUAAUAGUAUAUAGUAUAGCCCAUCCAAAACCAUAAAGUAACGAUGUUCGUACCCAAUAACAUUUUAUUGUGUACAGUAAACCUAUGAAGAGAAGUUGAGGUUUCAUAAAAAUAUGUUAUGUUUAUCAACUUCAAUUAAAAUGCUUUCUUUUUUCCGCCUAAUACCCUCACACACUGAACUUAAUAACUAAACCGGUACGUCUAUUUCUUAACCUAGACGGUGUAAUCUUAAGUGUUGGUUUCCACAGAGGCGUAGGUUAGUUGUACAUUCAGGGGAUGGAUCCUUCCUAUCCGACCAAGUGAACUCCUCUUAUAGAAGAUACUAGUAUGGCGUUGGUACAGUAGGUACUUGUCCGAGGCAUUCUAGGGUAUCUCAUCUUUACCUUAUUCAGUACACUGUACGAGGUCAAGAGAUAAAUAAUGUGAAUGGAAAAAUAAUAUCAUACCUUUACGUAAGUAAAAGAAACGUAGCUAACACUAGGCGUUAUGAUAGCCUCAUUUUCUUCCCUAGAUUCCUUCUUACAUCCGAUUUGAAAAACUAAAAAAUAAUCAUUGUUCAUUUAUAAAACAAACCUCCAUUCUUUGAACGCUAUAACUCCCCUAUUUAUGGUUGAUUAGUUCUCUGUACUCUGUUAGGUGUUUCGUUAACUAGUACUAGUUUAAACAUUCGGGUGAACCUAUAACUCGUAAAUGGGUAUUCUUAUCCUAAUAAAAGUUACUCAUCAACAUCCACGUUGAAGCCUUUUCUCUUAGACUAUUUCGAAAAGAACGGAUCUCAGUAACUCAGUAAUAUAUGGAAUUAAGAUAAUUCCUAGAAGGCGCCAGAAUAAAGAAAGUGAGAACGAGCUCGGCCUACUACUAUUUAAGAGUACAGGCCAAGGAAACCCCCUACCUAGGAUUUCUCAAGUGGAUAGGGUUAUUGUUUCUUUGGUCUGAAUUUACUAGGACAUAAUUCUCGAUUUAAUCGAUUUCCCUACCCUGUAUUAAUAAUGCCCCUUGGGCGUACCGGGUUGCUAGAAAAUAUAUAAAAAGGUCAUCAUUAAGAUCCAUGAUAACGUACAUUACAUCCAAAUCGCCAAGAGCUCGGUAGUUACUAACCACUUGGCCGUCUAGGCAAACGUUGAGGAGACCUUUAUAAUGGGCUCACCAUGAAGAAAGGGCACAAAGUUUAUGAGGCAUGCCAUGGGUUAUUCAAUAACCCGCAAGAAAAUUACCAAAGACACGGUUGUCCGAAUAACUGUCAUGGAAAAGAUCUCUUACAGUUAUUUAAGGUUUUAGGUAAAGCGGCGGGUCAUCGAUGCUGGCAAAAAAAUUAGCCAUGACAUCAUCGAGAAACCAAUCCAUAACCUCGUUGUAAUGGGUAACUAUUUAGUAAUUGAAAUCCAGAAAAAAUC